CGCUGUGUUGACACGCUCUGCACCUUGCUCCUGCCCUCGCCUUUCACUCUUCUUAUCCCUCUGAUACCCCGAUCAUUCCUGACAGCUCCUGAGUGCCUGGAUUUCAGCAUCCAGCCCUGCAGGAUGCUCCCAUUUGUUCUGAGGAAGGCUGUCCCAGACAGAGAGGAGGAGAUGGAGGUAAGAUUCGAAGAUUGAUACGGAGGAGGACAUGGAGGUGGAUACAAAGAUUGAUACAGAGGAGGACAUGGAAAUAGACGGAGAAGACCCUGGAGAGGAAGAGAUGGAUGUGGAUGUGGAUGAGGAAGAAGAGAUGGACGUCGAUGUGCAUGAAGAAGAACAGAUGGAUGUGGAUAUGGAAGAGUCCAUUGAGGACAUGGAUAUUGAUUAAGAAGGUGCGAUGGACAUCACCGACAGAGACACCACCCUUUUGUAUAUAUGUUUUACACUUUGUUGUUUUUCUUUAGAAUAUAGAUUUUAGAGCUAUUUUUGACUUCUGUAAAUACGUUUCCC